rnacentral:lncRNA from 1 species
AUCAGAGUAUUACAACUAUGGCUUUGCAUCUUAUUCUUCUCAAUCUCUCCAAUCAGAGGUUCGAGCAAAAUAUCAGCUCCAUCGCACUUUCUCAAGAGGCUAUGAUUGGCAGGAACUUCAAGUGUUACACUUCUCAUAGCCAUGCAUCUAUUACUGGAACUUACCUCUCUAGGCUGAACAUGGGAAGAGGGAACAGUGGAAGGAGUAGUAGUAGAAGAGGUAAAACCAAUGGGAACCAUAGAAGUCAAAACAGAGUCGGUAGGAGCAGACAUGGGAACCAAAGCAGGAUGGAAGCAGGAGCAGUAUAAAUAGGUAAGGGAACAGAAGUGAACAACUCAGGUAAAGAAACAUUCACGGUUGGCAAAGGAAUAGAAGGAAUAGAGGAAAUAGGUACGGAUGAAGAGAGAGGGAUUUCAUUCAGAAUAGGACCUAGUUCACCACUCUCAAAAUCACCAGCAAAGAGAUGUUGAAUAUUUUCAUUGGUGUCUCUUGGUACAGUGUCUUCAUCAGAAGGGAUCAAAACAGGCUUGGAGAUAGAGGUUCGAGCAGGAGAAUCUUCAACUUCA